rnacentral:rRNA from 1 species
UACGUAGGGUCCGAGCGUUGUCCGGAAUUAUUGGGCGUAAAGAGCUCGUAGGCGGUCCGUUAAGUCGGAAGUGAAAUCUCAAGGCUCAACCUUGAAAUCGCUUUCGAUACUGGCGGACUUGAGGCAGGUAGGGGAAGGUGGAAUUCCUGGUGUAGCGGUGAAAUGCGUUAGAUAUCAGGAGGAACACCUGUGGUGUAGACGGCUUACUGGACUAUAACUGACGCUGAGGAACGAAAGCGUGGGUAGCAAACAGG